rfam:Cucumis sativus cultivar 9930 chromosome 2, whole genome shotgun sequence.
GUCCCUUCGGGACAUCUGUUAAAAUUGGAAUGAUACAGAAAAGAUUAGCGUGGCCCCUGCACAAGGAUGACACACAAAUCAAAUAUGGUAAAUAUAAUUAU